rnacentral:lncRNA from 1 species
AGUUGGAAACAAAUGAGCUCCAUGCUAGCCUUACUGUGUGCAAUGGAAAACACUUGCAAACAAAGAAUAAAUAACUCAUUAAGUGGUGAACCUCUGAUCCUGGAUCAAAGUCACUGACCUGAUGCUACAGUAGCCUUUGCCUUUACUGUGGAGGCUGUGAGCCGAGUGAGAACUGGCCCACAGCUGCCUCCACAGCUCCUGUCACUGAGGCUUUAUAUGGCUGCCUGCAGCUGUGGAGAGCUUGAUGCCCCUGUGAGAUCAUGAGAUGCUUGAAUUAAAAAUUUCCAGGUACUGUACAAACAAAAGAGAAAAGGACUGCCCAAAUCUGCUGCUGUUGGCUGCCGGUGAGAUCCCAACCCUGCAAGGUGCCAGCCAUGCUGGUAGGGGAUUGAUAAGAAGACUGGGGCGUCCUGGGAACUGAGGAUUUCAAAGUCAAUUGGUCAUGUCUGCUGUCUGGAACAGCCCCAGCAUUGCCAUUAUCUGUCCCCUGAUGAACCUGUUGGUGGCUGCAGCUACUGGAGGUUGGGAGCUGGGGCAUCCAAGCUUAAGUACCCAAUAGACCUCUCCAGACAUCCUGGUGAACAAAUGUCAAAAUGCCACGCAUACGUGGGCAUAAGUUUGACUGUUUAAAAGUGGCUACAGUCCAUGAAGGAGAAAUUCAGGACAGAGGAGGCUCUUCAAGAGAUCGUGUUGAGAAGUGGAUAUUAGACAAUUGUGGAUGCUCUGCCUGGAUGAUAGUGCUCUGCCUGGAUGAUAGUGAUGGUGAGAAUGUCCUUGUCCUUCCUCCAGUGAUUUUACUAUAUGACAAGUCCA